AUACGGAGGACGCGAGCGUUAUCCGGAUUCAUUGGGUUUAAAGGGUGCGCAGGCGGCCGUGCAAGUCAGCGGUGAAAGCCCGGGGCUCAACCCCGGAAGUGCCGUUGAUACUUCCGAGCUGGAAUACGGAUGCCGUGGGAGGAAUGAGUAGUGUAGCGGUGAAAUGCAUAGAGAUCACACAGAACACCGAUUGCGAAGGCAUCUCACGAAGGGGUGAUUGACGCGGAGGCACGAAAGCGUGGGGAUCAAACAGGAGUAGAUACCCUGGUAGUCCACGCAGUAAACGAUGAUAACUAACCGAUGGGUCGUAGUGAUUCAGUGGCCAAGCGAAAGCGAUAAGUAAUCCACCUGGGGAGUACGACCGCAAGGUUGAAACUCAAAUGAAUUGUCGGGG
rnacentral:rRNA from 1 species